rnacentral:rRNA from 1 species
GACGAACGCUGGCGGCGUGCUUAACACAUGCAAGUCGAACGGAAAUGCCCUGCUUUUGUGGGGUGCUCGAGUGGCGAACGGGUGAGUAACACGUGAGUCACCUGCCCUUGACUUUGGGAUAACUUCAGGAAACUGGGGCUAAUACCGGAUAGUAGCUCCUGCUGCAUGGUUGGGGUUGGAAAGUUUCGGCGGUUGGGGAUGGACUCGCGGCUUAUCAGCUUGUUGGUGGGGUAGUGGCUUACCAAGGCUUUGACGGGUAGCCGGCCUGAGAGGGUGACCGGCCAAAUUGGGAAUGAGAUACGGCCCAGACUCCUACGGGAGGCAGCAGUGGGGAAUAUUGCACAAUGGGCGGAAGCCUGAUGCAGCAAAGCCGCGUGCGGGAUGACGGCCUUCGGGUUGUAAACCGCUUUCGCCUGUGACGAAGAGUGAGUGACGGUAAUGGGUAAAGAAGCACCGGCUAAAUACGUG